UACGGAGGAUCCGAGCGUUAUCCGGAUUUAUUGGGUUUAAAGGGUGCGUAGGCGGAAAUGUAAGUCAGUGGUGAAAUCCUGCAGCUUAACUGUAGAAUAGCCGUUGAAACUGUGUUUCUUGAGUACAUUUGAGGUAGGCGGAAUGUGGUGUGUAGCGGUGAAAUGCAUAGAUAUACCACAGAACACCGAUUGCGAAGGCAGCUUACUAAGCCAAGAUUGACGCUGAGGCACGAAAGUGUGGGGAUCAAACAGGAUUAGAUA
rnacentral:rRNA from 1 species